rnacentral:rRNA from 1 species
AAUCCAUAGGUUAAUGAGGCGAACCGGGGGAACUGAAACAUCUAAGUACCCCGAGGAAAAGAAAUCAACCGAGAUUCCCCCAGUAGCGGCGAGCGAACGGGGAGGAGCCCAGAGCCUGAAUCAGCAUGUGUGUUAGUGGAAGCGUCUGGAAAGGCGCGCGAUACAGGGUGACAGCCCCGUACACAAAAGCGCAUGUGCUGUGAGCUCGAUGAGUAGGGCGGGACACGUGGUAUCCUGUCUGAAUAUGGGGGGACCAUCCUCCAAGGCUAAAUACUCCUGACUGACCGAUAGUGAACCAGUACCGUGAGGGAAAGGCGAAAAGAACCCCGGCGAGGGGAGUGAAAAAGAACCUGAAACCGUGUACGUACAAGCAGUGGGAGCACAGGUUUACCUGUGUGACUGCGUACCUUUUGUAUAAUGGGUCAGCGACUUAUAUUCUGUAGCAAGGUUAACCGAAUAGGGGAGCCGGAGGGAAACCGAGUCUUAACCGGGCGUUAAGUUGCAGGGUAUAGACCCGAAACCCGGUGAUCUAGCCAUGGGCAGGUUGAAGGUUGGGUAACACUAACUGGAGGACCGAACCGACUAAUGUUGAAAAAUUAGCGGAUGACCUGUGGCUGGGGGUGAAAGGCCAAU